UACGUAGGCAGCAAGCGUUGUUCGGAAUUACUGGGCGUAAAGAGUGUGUAGGCGGUGCUCUAAGUUCGGUGUGAAAUCUCCCGGCUCAACUGGGAGGGUGCGCCGGAAACUGGGGUGCUGGAGCGCGGGAGAGGAAAGCGGAAUUCCUGGUGUAGCGGUGAAAUGCGUAGAGAUCGGCAGGAACACCCAGGGGGAAACCAGUCGACUGGGCAGCACCUGACGCUGAGGUGCGAGAGCGUGGGGAGCGAUCCGG
rnacentral:rRNA from 1 species